rnacentral:rRNA from 1 species
CGGCGUGCCUAACACAUGCAAGUCGAACGGAGUCAAGAAGCUUGCUUUUGACUUAGUGGCGGACGGGUGAGUAACGCGUGAGUAACCUGCCUCUGAGAGGGGAAUAACGUUCUGAAAAGAACGCUAAUACCGCAUAACGUAUCGAAGCCGCAUGACUUUGAUACCAAAGAUUUUAUCGCUCGGAGAUGGACUCGCGUCCGAUUAGUUAGUUGGUGAGGUAACGGCUCACCAAGACCGCGAUCGGUAGCCGGACUGAGAGGUUGAUCGGCCACAUUGGGACUGAGACACGGCCCAGACUCCUACGGGAGGCAGCAGUGGGGGAUAUUGCGCAAUGGGGGCAACCCUGACGCCAGCAACGCCGCGUGAAGGAUGAAGGUUUUCGGAUUGUAAACUUCUUUUAUCAGGGACGAAAACUGACGGUACCUGAUGAAUAAGCUCCUGCUAACUACGUGCCAGCAGCCGC